AAGAAUUUGAAAGGUAUAAGCUGUCAAUAAUAGUUCAAAAAAUCUCUAGAAGGGAAAAUAAGAUAAACGCCCUGUGUAUAAGCAUUGUUAUAUAACGUAAAUUAGUUUCGGUGAUAAUAAUAAUGAUCAGGUACAAUUUAAUAACAGGAUAUUUACAAUACCGUGACACUUACAUGUUUUAAUUAAGUUUGAAUCUAAUAUAAAUACGACACAAAGUCUCUAAUAAAACAUAGAAAAAUAAUCAUGACGAGAUUUACCAUUUUCCUAAUUUGUGCUACGUUGCUUUUUAUGGGUUACGUGGAUGCAGAAGGUCCACCUAGUGGAAUGCCGGGAGGUGGAUCGGGAUCAGGAAGUGGCGGUGCUUCGGGAAAAACUAAAGGAGGUCUAGAAGAAAACCAGAAAGUUGGACUUGGAGCUAGCGGUGAAGGACAAGGAGAUUUUAAAAAAGGAAAAUAAAACGUAAAUUGUUAAAAAUAAAUUUUAUUUCAUUUCAAAA